GAUGAACGCUAGCUACAGGCUUAACACAUGCAAGUCGAGGGGCAGCAUGGACAUAGCUUGCUAUGUUUGAUGGCGACCGGCGCACGGGUGCGUAACACGUAUCCAAUCUGCCCGUUACUCGGGGAUAGCCUUCUGAAAGGAAGAUUAAUACCCGAUGGCAUGUAUUUCCGGCAUCGGAGAUCCAUUAAAGAUUUAUCGGUAACGGCUGAGGAUGCGUACGAUUAGCUUGUUGGCGGGGUAACGGCCCACCAAGGCAACGAUCGUUAGGGGUUCUGAGAGGAAGGUCCCCCACACUGGAACUGAGACACGGUCCAGACUCCUACGGGAGGCAGCAGUGAGGAAUAUUGGUCAAUGGUCGGAAGACUGAACCAGCCAAGUAGCGUGAAGGAUGACUGCCCUACGGGUUGUAAACUUCUUUUGUUUGGGAAUAAAAGACGCUACGUGUAGCGUUCUGCAUGUACCUUACGAAUAAGCAUCGGCUAAUUCCGUGCCAGCAGCCGCCGUAAUAC
rnacentral:rRNA from 1 species